UUUGGAUGGGCUUCACUCCACAGGGAUAGUACAUAGAGAUAUUAAGCCUCAAAACAUAAUUUUCUCUGAAGGUUCUCGCGCGUUCAAAAUAAUUGAUCUUGGUGCUGCAGCAGAUUUGAGAGUAGGAAUCAAUUAUAUUCCUAAGGAGUUUCUUUUAGAUCCAAGGUGAUUUCCUACUCUGCAAACUGAUUAUCCCCUUGAUAAAAGUGGCAUAAUAUGCAUAACAAAUGAGGCCUAGUGGGACAAAAUCCCAAACCAAAAA
rnacentral:misc_RNA from 1 species